GGCAACGUGGCCGAGCGAUCUAAGGCGCCACGCCAGGGUAUCCAACCCUUAAUUCUCAUUCUUGAGAGAGAUCUUUCUCGAGAGUAAUUAAUUCCGUGGUCCGAAAGGGCGUGAGUUCGAAUCUCACCCUUAUUA